rnacentral:siRNA from 1 species
CAGCCUUGCGACCAUACUCCCCC